CAACCAUUCCACAAGUCUCUAGGAAGUUCCAAAUUUUUCCACGUUUCUGUCUUUUUCUGAGCACUCCAAAUUGUUAAAGCCUCUGCCUGUUACCCAGUUCCAAAGUCAUUUUCCUUAUUGUCUUGGCUAUUAGCAUUCAGCUCGUCUUUACUUAUGAUGCAGAUUUCUGCAGCAGGCUUGAAUUCCUCCCCAGAAAAUGGGUUUUUCAUUUCUACCACAGGGUCAGGCUGCAAAUUUUUCAAACCUUUUCCAGUUGUCUUUAUAGCAGUGCCCCACUCCCAGUACCAAUUCUCUGUAUUAGUCUGUUUUUACAUUGAUAUAAAGGUACUCCCUAAUAAAUUAGAAUAGGAUAAAUAUGAACAUUUAGAAGACUGGAUUGUUAUAAAUUGUUUUAUUAACAUGCAUGUGUAGAUGGAUAUUUUCAGGACCUAGAAAUGAUGGGGGGGAGGGUUAUGCAAUAAGUUAAAUUAUAAUAAAAAAUCAUUUGGGCACAAUUUGAACAAAAAUGCUACUAUUCACUUAUCAUUAUGUAAUGCCUAAGGUUCUUGCCUAGCCACGCCAAAGAAUUUGUGUGGCAGCUGACCGUGGUGAGGGAUAGAGACACAGACCGAGAGAGAAAAAGGCUGUAGGCUUUAUUGAGCAGAUUGAAAGGACAAAGCUUCCACAGUGUGGAAGGGGUCCCGAGCGGGUAGCCAGAGUUAGAUUAUGUGACUGCCUUUUAAACUCUUUAAGGCCGGAAAUACGUGUGGCGAGAUGUUACCAGAGCGAGAAACAAAGGCAAUUAACCGUUUGUAACAUGUCUUAGAUCUUGAGGAAAACUGGAAUUGCAACUUAGGUUUUAUCUACUUUAUGAACUUGCAGCAGCAUGGCAAAGGAGACGGGAUCUUACAGGACUUUGUUACAAAGUAUGUUUUCAAGGAAUUGGAAUUGGGAGGAUAGAUAAGGUCCGCUGGUCACAGAAAAACAGGCAGUUAACGUUCCUUUUACUUUAGUUUCGGGGGAGGCGGAAGAGAAAGAGAGAGAGAGGACACAGGGAAACUUACAGCAAAAGUUUCGAUGUUUAUAGCUUUCUUGGGGAAGAAAACACAUGCACAGAUCCUGGUGUUAGGAAUAUUUUAAGCAUGUAUCUUCAAUAUUAUUCAUCCAGGACCGAAGUAAGUCCUGAUGCAGGAAAUGAGUGACUUUCACAGCUUUCUGAGCCCCUACUCAACCCAGGAAGUCCAGCUGGCACCUCCUCUGGAUCACAAGCUUAACUGAGAAACUUUCUUCUACUUUAUAACAAGCAAGAAGUUAUGUGCUUUGGACUCCACAAUUUGAGAGCUUCUUGCCCUUCUCCAGGUGCACUGCUCCUCACAAUGAAAGAAAUGGGUGAAAGAGGAAAGAGCAUGACCACCUGGAGCCCAUCAUCCCCCUUCUACAACAAAUUCUAGUGAUCCAGAACCCCAGGAAUCCCUGCCCCAUAAAUACUCUUGCUUAAAUCAAAGGAUAUCAUGAGCCAUUUUUUUUCCAUUUUCAUUCUUCCAUGAAUGUUCUAUGCACAUUCAUGCACACGUGCAGGUUUGAGAAGUGCCAAAAAACAGCUGUUUGGAGUAAAGGAGAUGAACGAACAACAUGUUUGCAGGCAAAGGUACUCACCGCUACCCUGCGUUCCUGCAUAGACUUCCAUCAGAGAGAACAUGUUAGGAAAGUUAAAUUGCAGUAAGCACAUCACAGCAAUGACGAGGACAGGUACUUUUCUGGGAAACACUGGAAGACAGCUGGAGAGGAUUCUGCUGCUGUGAAAGCACCUAAAGCCUCCUUGACUCAGCCUCACAUCCUAUCUUCAAGAAAACAUCAUAUGGUUAUUAUAUAAACCUCUUACGGGAUUUCUAAGGUUAAUUUCAAUAUAUAAAUGGCUACUCAACAGAAUCAAGGUAAUUAGAGUUUGCUUAUAUUCAAAAAGAGUUGCAAAAUGUCUCCUAGAAAACAGAAUUAACUAUAAGAACCUGAAAUUUGCAUUUCAUAACUUUAAGGAGUUUAAAUUAUCAAGAUUAAUAUUGCACUAAAAAGUUUGUGCAUUCAUGCGUGAUCGAAUAUGAAAACACAUGACCUGUGAACUGAGCAAAAGGUAUGCUUUCUGAAGCAUAUACUCUGUGUGAUUAGGUCACUGAUGCCAUUGAAAUAUGUAGAUUUAAUGUUAAAGCUACUGGUUCUCUGAGUGUUUUCAUGAUCUCACCAGAUUUUUUUUUUUGUACCAUUCACUCUUUUCUAUUUAAAAGACUUUCAGUCGUAGUCUAAAAAAAAUUCCAAACACUUUAGUUCUGGAAUUUCACUUAUUCUCUACAAGUUAUUAUUACUACAAUUUAGUACAAACUCUCAUUUUCAUAGCUUACUAUUCCAACUUCUCCUAGUAUGUAACCCUUAUGCUCUAUAACUGAAAACAUUCUGGUAAAAGGAAUCAGCAUGCUAAUACUAUUUUAAACACACAUCCUCAUUCUCUUUCCUAUUAUUCAUAAAACUAGAAAAAUAAAAAAACACUUUUCUUCCAGCAGUGGAUAGAAGAAAAAGAAAUUCAAAUUUACAAUUUAAUUGUCAUGGGUCACUCACUUGCAGUGACUUGCUCUAGUUGCUUCUGUUGUUUUAAUGCUAAGGUAAGAUGAUGAAGAUCUGUUUUGAGUAAAGUAAGCUCCAAAUAUGAGCUUUGCACUACUACCAUUCUUAAUUUGUGGAUCAUAUCAAUGUUAGGAGUUGAAGGUUUAAUUUGCAUUUAUUUAAAUAAAUUAUCCCUAGACUAUAACUUAUUUUCCAAAUGUCUCAUUCUUUCUCUCAUGUUUAUCUUUUUUCUUGACAUUCAUUUCUUAUACAUGCAUUCAUCAAUAUUAGCCAUUCUAUGUGGAUAUACUAAUUCAUAUUUACUUCAAUCCAUUAAUAUUUGCAUUCUAAUAAAAUUCAUUGCUUCUCUACAAUAGAUAGUUCAAGCAGAACUUAUAGUUUUGGUCAUUAAUUUCUAGCUACAGAUUGCAGAAGAGAAGCAGCACAUAAUAAAGUAUAUCCUAGUCAUGUUUGCAUAUAAAUACAUACUACAUUGCACAGAAUAAUUGUUACCCUCCUACAAAAGCCCAAAAUAAAUUAAAGAUAUAAAAUCACUGAUAUAAUUCAGUUUUGUAUCUCAAUCACAAUCCAGUUUCUUUCUUUUUCUGAUCUUAUAGCCUGGGGGUUCUCAAAAGAAAACGUUUUAGAAUAAAAUUUUAUUUUCUAUAAACCUAAGGAUAUAGUGCACAUUCAUUGAUAGAACAGGCAUCAACUUCUGUUUCUCUGAUCUCAUUUCACUAGGGCUUACAUUUUCAGCCAUAUCACUAGGCAGAACUGUGAAAGCAAUUCUGUAUUAAUGUUCAAAGAUGCAUUUUUUUUAUUAGAAAAGAAACACAUGUUUUAUACUUAGCCCUAUAUCCUGUAUCUUCCCCUCCCUUCCUCUUUUGGUUUUUCUUGUCCUACAAUAAAAAGCACUAGAAUAUCCACUGGAUGUAUUGUUUAUAAAUUAAGUAACAUAUUGUUCAUAUAAUAAAACGAUUCUCUUCCCCACAUGAUUUCAUCACCACUGUCUCUUCCUAAGUGUGACAAUGUCUUCUGCUUACUUCAACAUUAAAUAUUUUAUAUUUACUUCUAGAUUAAUAAACUGUAGACCCUACCAAUUGUCUCUAUAGAAGAUUACUAGUUUGCUCAUUUAUGUAAUACUCAUAUUCCCCUUUCAUGUACCUUCCUUAAAUUUUAAUAGUUGCAUUUAUCCUUCCAAGUAGCAUUCAAACUUUAAAUAUAAAUACAUCUUCAUCACUUGUUCCCUCAUUUACACAAUACUUCCUAAUUAUUUACUACAUAAGAGAGUGGUCUUAUAACUAUAUUUUUCUCUAUAUCUCUUGUAUCAACUUUCAAACUGGAAUUUUUGACAGAUACCACUUCUAUAUAUAG
rnacentral:lncRNA from 1 species